UUGAAAAGCAUCCAAAAUUUAUACAAUAAGAAAAAAACUCAAAUCAUAUGCAGAACUAAGUAUCAGAAGACAAGAAAAAAA
rnacentral:sRNA from 1 species